rnacentral:rRNA from 1 species
GUACGGGAGGCAGCAGUGGGGAAUAUUGGACAAUGGGCGAAAGCCUGAUCCAGCAAUGCCGCGUGAGUGAUGAAGGCCUUAGGGUUGUAAAGCUCUUUUACCAGGGAUGAUAAUGACAGUACCUGGAGAAUAAGCUCCGGCUAACUCCGUGCCAGCAGCCGCGGUAAUACGGAAGGAGCUAGCGUUGUUCGGAAUCACUGGGCGUAAAGCGUGCGUAGGCGGUUACUCAAGUCAGAGGUGAAAGCCUGGAGCUCAACUCCAGAACUGCCUUUGAAACUAGGUAACUAGAAUCUGGGAGAGGUGAGUGGAAUUCCGAGUGUAGAGGUGAAAUUCGUAGAUAUUCGGAAGAACACCAGUGGCGAAGGCGGCUCACUGGACCAGAAUUGACGCUGAGGCACGAAAGCGUGGGGAGCAAACAGGAUUAGAAACCCCAGUAGUCCU